rnacentral:rRNA from 1 species
AUCGCAUGGACGAAGUCUGACGGAGCACGCCGCGUGAGUGAUGAAGGUUUUCGGAUCGUAAAGCUCUGUUGUUAGGGAAGAACAAGUGCCGUUCAAAUAGGGCGGCACCUUGACGGUACCUAACCAGAAAGCCACGGCUAACUACGUGCCAGCAGCCGCGGUAAUUACGUAGGUGGCAAGCGUUGUCCGGAAUUAUUGGGCGUAAAGGGCUC